GACGAACGCUGGCGGCGUGCUUAACACAUGCAAGUCGAACGGAAAGGCCCUGCUUUUGUGGGGUGCUCGAGUGGCGAACGGGUGAGUAACACGUGAGUAACCUGCCCUUGACUUUGGGAUAACUUCAGGAAACUGGGGCUAAUACCGGAUAGGAGCUCCUGCUGCAUGGUGGGGGUUGGAAAGUUUCGGCGGUUGGGGAUGGACUCGCGGCUUAUCAGCUUGUUGGUGGGGUAGUGGCUUACCAAGGCUUUGAAGGGUAGGCGGCCUGGGAGGGGGACCGGCCACAUGGGGACUGAGGGACGGCCCAGACUCCUACGGGAGGCAGCAGGGGGGAAUAUUGCACAAUGGGCGGAAGCCGGAUGCAGCAACGCCGCGGGCGGGAUGACGGCCUUCGGGGUGUAAACCGCUUUCGCCUGUGACGAAGCGUGAGUGACGGUAAUGGGUAAAGAAGCACCGGCUAACUACGUG
rnacentral:rRNA from 1 species